UACGGAGGGGGCUAGCGUUGCUCGGAAUCACUGGGCGUAAAGCGCACGUAGGCGGCUUACUAAGUCAGGGGUGAAAUCCUGGAGCUUAACUCCAGAACUGCCUUUGAUACUGGUGAGCUAGAGUCCGGAAGAGGUGAGUGGAACUGCGAGUGUAGAGGUGAAAUUCGUAGAUAUUCGCAAGAACACCAGUGGCGAAGGCGGCUCACUGGUCCGGUACUGACGCUGAGGUGCGAAAGCGUGGGGAGCAAACAGG
rnacentral:rRNA from 1 species